CCUACGGGUGGCAGCAGUGAGGAAUAUUGGUCAAUGGGCGGGAGCCUGAACCAGCCAAGCCGCGUGAAGGAAGAAGGCGCCAGGCGUCGUAAACUUCUUUUGUAGGGGAACAAAGGGCGCCACGCGUGGCGUUGUGAGUGUAGCCGAAGAAAACGCAUCGACUAACUCCGUGCCAGCAGCCGCUGUAAUAGGGGGGGUGCGAUCGUUAUCCGGAUUUCUUGGGUGUAAGGGGUACGUAGGCGGUACGGACCGGCAGCGGGAAAAGCCCGGGGCCCAACCCGGGCGUGCCGUUGAAACUGUCGGACUAGAGACGAGGAGAGGUACGCGGAAUGCGCGGUGUAGCGGUGAAAUGCAUAGAUA
rnacentral:rRNA from 1 species